rnacentral:rRNA from 1 species
CUUCUUUAGAAAAUAAUUUAAGAUUAGGCCUGCUCUAUGAAUAUUUAAAUGGCUGCGGUAUUUUAACUGUACUAAGGUAGCAUAAUAAUUUGUCUUUUAAUUGAAGGCUAGAAUGAAUGGUUCGAUGAAAAAUUAUCUUUUUUUUAUUAAUAUUUUGAAUUUGAUUUUUUAGUUAAAAAGCUAAAAUUUUUUUAUAGGACGAGAAGACCCUAUAGAAUUUUAUUUUUAUUUUAUAUUUAUUUAUUUUGAAGUUAUAUUUUAAUUUAUAAGAUAAAAAUUUGGUUGGGGUGAUUUAAAAAUUUAUUUGACUUUUUAUUUUUAUUUCAUUAAUUAUUGUUUUUUUGAUCCUAAAUUUUAGAUUAUAAGAUUAAAUUACCUUAGGGAUAACAGCGUAAUUUAUUUGGAGAGUUCUAAUCGAUAAAUAAGUUUGCGA